GCCCCGCGCGGAGCGCUCCUGCGCUGCGGUCUCCCGCGCGCUCCUGCACGGCUGCAACGCCCCACGCCCGCCACCGCCGCCUUCCCUCCUCGCUCCCUGGGUGAGUCACUGCGGGUCUGUGCUCGGGCGUCCUCUGCACGGGUACACGGAAGGCCUCCAAAGCUGGUGCUGCGUCACCCUCAACCAGGGGAAACUGAGGCCGAGGGGCCAGGGUCAGCACCAGGCGAGCCCCGCCUCCCACGGGCCGUGGCCUCCCAGGACUCGCGUGUCCUCACGAAGAGACACGGGGUGGGCGGCGACCCGGGCUGAGUGGCCCCAGCGGGCUCAGGGCGCGGAGCACCCACGGUCGGGGACCCGAGUCCUCGUGCAUCCUCAGCCCGUUGUGAGUUCCUACGCAAGGUCAGUCGUUGUGCAGGUCCUAGGCCAUUGACUACUGCUCCCUUCCAAGGCGAGCACUAAAGCCUCCAUUUUGCAGACGACUUGGCUACGAUUUAAGUUGACGCUCCAGGGCCCCAGGGGACAGCGACCCGACUCCUACGCGCCUGCUCUACACUGAAGCUGGGUCCCCUGCUUCUCCCUGCCUGGGCCUGCUGCUGUCCUGAAGACUGAUGGAAACUGUCCUUGCGAUGGAGAUGUUGGCUCUGCAGCAGCCAGUGCCUCUCCUCUCCGCACUCCUGCUGGAGUGGCUCCACUGUCCCCAGAGAGAAUUUCCCUGGGGUAACGGCUGCUGCUUAUGAAAACCUUGAAGCUUGGUGAUCUGGGAUCACCUUCCCAGGGCACCUGCAGAAGGGAUGGUAAGCUCAGCGGGAUACAGAGAAUGUGGAAAAUCCCCUGUGUAGAGUGAAGCCUGGUGGGAGCACAUGAGGGCCUGGGUCUGAAAGCCAGAAAGACCCCCAAAUCUGGAAGUCAAAUCAUGGCUGAGUUUCUUCAUUUUUUUCCUGUAAGGUACGGAAACUGCAAAGUUUCUGUGAGGGCAGAGACCUUGGAUCCUUUUUUUUUUAAUAGGACUGGGAUUCGAACUCAUUGCUUUGUGUUUGCAAAACAGGUAUUCUUCGGCUUGAGCCACCCCUCUAGCCCAUUUUGUUUUGUUUUUGAGCCCUAGUGUCUGGCUGCAAGUAGGUAUUCAUUAUAUGUGAGUAUUUGAACAGAAGCUGGUCUUCUUGUGGACUCUUGAUGGUAGCAGAUAAAGUCUUUAUCUGAAGUCAUGAUCAUAUAGGGCCCAGAAUCCUUUGCGCUUGACGCGUGGACAGUCAACAAGUAUUUUCCAUUGGAGGUUCUUUGGCAGGAAAUGGAUCUCCGUCAACAAGGGAACUUUCUGGAACCUCUACUGUUUCAUCAGAGUUUGCACAAAAGGCCUGAAAAGUUCACUUGCCAUAGACGAUUUGUUGUCUCCUGUGGUGCUGUCAACUCUUCUUUUUGUACACGAGGAAAGGACAGGGCUCACGGGUUAGGAAUAACAGCCCACAUUUGUGAAGCAGCGAGCUACUGUGAGAGAAACUCUCCAUGUGCUUAUCAAGAUGGGCUUGACCAGGUGACAUUUAGGUGGCUUCUCUGGAUUUCUUGUUUAUUGCAGAGGUGUCCACUUGGUGCAAAGGAGUUCAUGAGAGGUGUCUUCACCCUUCCAGGAAGCAGCUCAACCAUGGUGCUCCCAAGGCAAGUCCAUUGUGAGCAGAGGUGCCAUGGGAGCUGUCGAGUCAGAAAAAUUCUAGACCCAUGUACCCUGAGGAGUAUUGAGAUUCCUUUUUGAGAUGAGCAUGCUGCAGAAAAACCCUGCAACUUGUACCUCGUUAACUGAAGCAUUCUCGUGAUGUCAGUGGGAAGCAUGAGAUAAUGGAGACCCAAAGGAACGAAGCCCCAGGGAUGGAGGCCCUAACACGCUCGGUAUGACCAUCUGGGUCCCUGCUCCCUGCAGGGGUCUCCUCAUGGUGAGUUACUGUGGGAGGGGAAUUCCAAGCCACUAGCCCUUGUCUCCCUUCCUUCCUGAGGCUAUGGUGACGGUCAUGGAAACUGGCAUAGCACAGAAGGAAGCAGACUGUCCACAGCUGCUCCAGCCUAGCACAGCACCUUUGCACUGUGGUCAGGCGGGACAGAGGGAUUUGGGUUCAGUGGUGGACACACUCCAGCUGUUCUGCCCUGCCCCAGCAGUGCCCCAGGAUACCAUGAACAUGAAGACUCGUUUUUCUUCAUUUCUGCCAGGUCAUACAUGGCCAGACUCCGAGUCAUCUUGCCUACUCCUGGGGUAACUGUAGAUCCAAGACAUCCUGGUGAUGUUUUCAUGGGUUUUUUUGUUUGUUUGUUUGUUGUUGUUUUUGAGUCAGGGUCUCACUAUGCAGCCCGAGAUGACCCUGAACUCACUGGGUAGUCCAGGCUGGCUUUGAACUCAUUAUCUUCCUGUGUCUGCCUCCCAAGUGCUGGGAUUACAGGUCUGUACCACCACACCCAGCUGUUUUGUAGUUGGUGGUGGUGUUUUUUUGUUUGUUGUUUUGUUUUUUGAAAGAGAAUCUCCGUAUGUUUCCCAGGCUGGACUCGAACUCCUGAUCUCAAGUGGUCCUCCCGCCUCAGCCUCCCAAGUGCUAGGCUUACAGGUGUGUGUCAGCACACCUGGUGUUGUGUAGUUUG